AAAUUCUAGCUCUAAUUUAGUGCUUUUAAUAUUUUCACUGUAUAUCAAAAGGAUGCAUUAUAGCAUUUAUUAUUGUGCAUUUGCAAAUAGCAUUAUUCAUAUGACAUUUUAUUUGGCUAAAUUGCACCAUGCGAGACGUAUCAAAAUAAGUUCUAAAACUUAACAAUUUCUAUUGGUCAGAAAUUUGUUAAAUAAGCAAAAAGAGAGUUAAGUUGGCAUGAAAAAUAUGUAAACACUUUCUUUUAUUAUUUAUUAAAUUUUUUUUUCCUUGUUUAGUGAAGUUGUUAUUUAUCAUUUAGCUGAAUGCAUUAUAAGACAACCAACCGGUACAACAAAAUAAGCCUUUGUUUCGACGUAUUAAAUUGGGUAAAUUGCAUGUUUAGUCCUCGAAUUAUCAGGCUCGUGAAACUUUAGUCCUCAAAUUUAAAUUUAUUUUAAUUUCUAGCUCAAAUUUUUUAAAUUAUUGUAAAUCAAGUCUCACAACGUAAUUUAGUUAACUAAAUUUGAUAUAUUGUUGAUGUAAAGUGAUGUGGUACCUUAAUUAUUAAAACAUUAUUGGUCAUAAUAUUGAUACGUCAUUUUUAUGUUAACAAUAUAUUAAUAUUUAAUAAACUAAAUUAAAUUAAAAUUUGAUUAUAAUAAUCCCGAAAUAUUAAGCCACAUAUUAUAAUAAAUUAAAAAUUG
rnacentral:lncRNA from 1 species